AACUGAUACUACCUGCGGGAACCUGCGGAGGGAUCAUUACUGAAGUGGUUUGGGGAUGUUGCUGGCCCUCUCUCAAGGGGGGGCACUGUGCACUCCUCGAAACAAUUCACAAUUUCCAUCACACCCCUUGUGCACACCUUGUAGGCACCCAAACCCACCUCCGGGUGGUGGGGUCCUAUGUAUUCCUUCAUCUCACACUCUGUUGAAUGGUGCCAUGGGACGCAUCUAAAGGAUUAUUUG
rnacentral:misc_RNA from 1 species